CCCAGACUCUUACGGGAGGCAGCAGUGGGGGAUAUUGCACAAUGGGGGGAACCCUGGUGCAGCGACGCCGCGUGGGUGAAGGAGCGUUUCGGCGCGUAAAGCCCUAUCGGCAGGGAAGAAGGAGGACGGUACCUGACUAAGAAGCCCCGGCUAACUACGUGCCAGCAGCCGCGGUAAUACGUAGGGGGCAAGCGUUAUCCGGAUUUACUGGGUGUAAAGGGGGCGCAGACGGCAGCGCAAGCCAGGAGUGAAAGCCCGGGGCCCAACCCCGGGACUGCUCUUGGAACUGCGCGGCUGGAGUGCAGGAGGGGCAGGCGGAAUUCCUGGUGUAGCGGUGAAAUGCGUAGAUAUCAGGAGGAACACCGGUGGCGAAGGCGGCCUGCUGGACUGCGACUGACGUUGAGGCCCGAAAGCGUGGGGAGCAAACAGGAUUAGAUACCCGCGUA
rnacentral:rRNA from 1 species